rnacentral:rRNA from 1 species
CGGGGGAACUGAAACAUCUAAGUACCCCGAGGAAAAGAAAUCAACCGAGAUUCCCCCAGUAGCGGCGAGCGAACGGGGAGCAGCCCAGAGCCUGAAUCAGUAUGUGUGUUAGUGGAAGCGUCUGGAAAGGCGCGCGAUACAGGGUGACAGCCCCGUACACAAAAAUGCACAUGCUGUGAGCUCGAUGAGUAGGGCGGGACACGUGGUAUCCUGUCUGAAUAUGGGGGGACCAUCCUCCAAGGCUAAAUACUCCUGACUGACCGAUAGUGAACCAGUACCGUGAGGGAAAGGCGAAAAGAACCCCGGCGAGGGGAGUGAAAAAGAACCUGAAACCGUGUACGUACAAGCAGUGGGAGCACGCUUAGGCGUGUGACUGCGUACCUUUUGUAUAAUGGGUCAGCGACUUAUAUUCUGUAGCAAGGUUAACCGAAUAGGGGAGCCGAAGGGAAACCGAGUCUUAACUGGGCGUUAAGUUGCAGGGUAUAGACCCGAAACCCGGUGAUCUAGCCAUGGGCAGGUUGAAGGUUGGGUAACACUAACUGGAGGACCGAACCGACUAAUGUUGAAAAAUUAGCGGAUGACUUGUGGCUGGGGGUGAAAGGCCAAUCAAACCGGGAGAUAGCUGGUUCUCCCCGAAAGCUAUUUAGGUAGCGCCUCGUGAAUUCAUCUCCGGGGGUAGAGCACUGUUUCGGCAAGGGGGUCAUCCCGACUUACCAACCCGAUGCAAACUGCGAAUACCGGAGAAUGUUAUCACGGGAGACACACGGCGGGUGCUAACGUCCGUCGUGAAGAGGGAAACAACCCAGACCGCCAGCUAAGGUCCCAAAGUCAUGGUUAAGUGGGAAACGAUGUGGGAAGGCCCAGACAGCCAGGAUGUUGGCUUAGAAGCAGCCAUCAUUUAAAGAAAGCGUAAUAGCUCACUGGUCGAGUCGGCCUGCGCGGAAGAUGUAACGGGGCUAAACCAUGCACCGAAGCUGCGGCAGCGACACUAUGUGUUGUUGGGUAGGGGAGCGUUCUGUAAGCCUGUGAAGGUGUGCUGUGAGGCAUGCUGGAGGUAUCAGAAGUGCGAAUGCUGACAUAAGUAACGAUAAAGCGGGUGAAAAGCCCGCUCGCCGGAAGACCAAGGGUUCCUGUCCAACGUUAAUCGGGGCAGGGUGAGUCGACCCCUAAGGCGAGGCCGAAAGGCGUAGUCGAUGGGAAACAGGUUAAUAUUCCUGUACUUGGUGUUACUGCGAAGGGGGGACGGAGAAGGCUAUGUUGGCCGGGCGACGGUUGUCCCGGUUUAAGCGUGUAGGCUGGUUUUCCAGGCAAAUCCGGAAAAUCAAGGCUGAGGCGUGAUGACGAGGCACUACGGUGCUGAAGCAACAAAUGCCCUGCUUCCAGGAAAAGCCUCUAAGCAUCAGGUAACAUCAAAUCGUACCCCAAACCGACACAGGUGGUCAGGUAGAGAAUACCAAGGCGCUUGAGAGAACUCGGGUGAAGGAACUAGGCAAAAUGGUGCCGUAACUUCGGGAGAAGGCACGCUGAUAUGUAGGUGAAGUCCCUCGCGGAUGGAGCUGAAAUCAGUCGAAGAUACCAGCUGGCUGCAACUGUUUAUUAAAAACACAGCACUGUGCAAACACGAAAGUGGACGUAUACGGUGUGACGCCUGCCCGGUGCCGGAAGGUUAAUUGAUGGGGUUAGCCGCAAGGCGAAGCUCUUGAUCGAAGCCCCGGUAAACGGCGGCCGUAACUAUAACGGUCCUAAGGUAGCGAAAUUCCUUGUCGGGUAAGUUCCGACCUGCACGAAUGGCGUAAUGAUGGCCAGGCUGUCUCCACCCGAGACUCAGUGAAAUUGAACUCGCUGUGAAGAUGCAGUGUACCCGCGGCAAGACGGAAAGACCCCGUGAACCUUUACUAUAGCUUGACACUGAACAUUGAGCCUUGAUGUGUAGGAUAGGUGGGAGGCUUUGAAGUGUGGACGCCAGUCUGCAUGGAGCCGACCUUGAAAUACCACCCUUUAAUGUUUGAUGUUCUAACGUUGACCCGUAAUCCGGGUUGCGGACAGUGUCUGGUGGGUAGUUUGACUGGGGCGGUCUCCUCCUAAAGAGUAACGGAGGAGCACGAAGGUUGGCUAAUCCUGGUCGGACAUCAGGAGGUUAGUGCAAUGGCAUAAGCCAGCUUGACUGCGAGCGUGACGGCGCGAGCAGGUGCGAAAGCAGGUCAUAGUGAUCCGGUGGUUCUGAAUGGAAGGGCCAUCGCUCAACGGAUAAAAGGUACUCCGGGGAUAACAGGCUGAUACCGCCCAAGAGUUCAUAUCGACGGCGGUGUUUGGCACCUCGAUGUCGGCUCAUCACAUCCUGGGGCUGAAGUAGGUCCCAAGGGUAUGGCUGUUCGCCAUUUAAAGUGGUACGCGAGCUGGGUUUAGAACGUCGUGAGACAGUUCGGUCCCUAUCUGCCGUGGGCGCUGGAGAACUGAGGGGGGCUGCUCCUAGUACGAGAGGACCGGAGUGGACGCAUCACUGGUGUUCGGGUUGUCAUGCCAAUGGCACUGCCCGGUAGCUAAAUGCGGAAGAGAUAAGUGCUGAAAGCAUCUAAGCACGAAACUUGCCCCGAGAUGAGUUCUCCCUGACUCCUUUAAGGGUCCUGAAGGAACGUUGAAGACGACGACGUUGAUAGGCCGGGUGUGUAAGCGCAGCGAUGCGUUGAGCUAACCGGUACUAAUGAACCGUGAGGCUUAACCU